rnacentral:misc_RNA from 1 species
UUAAGUUCAGCGGGUCUUCCUACCUGAUCCGAGGUCAACCUUGAUGGAUUUCGAUUGAAAUCCGUGAGUUCUAACGGCGUGGUCCGGUCCCAUCGCUAGCGAGAAGUGUGUCACAACGCUAAGACGGGCGACGGCCAGCCGGUGAAAUUGAGGCGCGGGGACCCCCGAUGCCCAAUACCAAGCCAGGCUUGAUUGGAUUU